UGGUGCCUGAGGGAAAUGGCGGCUGCCGCCCCGGCUUCGGGCUCUGCGGGGCGGGUGCGCCGCUUCCCCCUCGCUCCUUACUGCCGUGGGUCUGCUGGAGUUUGGCAGAGCCUCCCCUCGCUUCCAAGCUCUGGGCGGCGCCAUCGUGAGCGUGGUUGUGUGGGGAGCGGGGUGAGGCGGCGCUGCCGGAGCUGGGCCGCGGCCGCCGUGUUGCGCGGUGGCAGCUGUGGGCGCCCUUUGGUUGUUGCCGGGGUUUUGGAGAAGUGGCGUGGUUCCCCGUCGGCUGAGAACUGCUGCUCGCAGUGCACCUUCGGGGUGGGGUUUGGGAGCUCUGCGUCAGAGCUCGGGAAGUUCAAAGCAGGAAGUUGGGUACAAGUCCUGAAUAUGGGUGUUGGGACUCCAUGCUGGUAGCUCUGCAGUCACUCCAUGCUGUUUACAAGUUGUAUCUCUUUCUGUGCUUCCCAAUUCAGUUUGGAAGUGAGGGGACUGAAGAAGAAUUAGUUUUAGACACAAGAGAUUCCGUCCUCAUCACCUUGUAAAAUUCAACAUUUAACAAGAUAAACUAGUUUUGAAAAUAAGAUUGUACUUGUGCCAAUACGCAGACAGAUUGACUUGAAGACUGCACCUUGACACUGGAACUCCUGGGAGGAAUGCAUCAUAUUAACUGAACAACCAGGCAUCCCUAAAGUCCAGAUAUCCGUUGUCUGGAAGGAAGCAUAUCUUCAUCUUUAAAUUAACAGGUGCAUUUCACCUUCUUCAUUUAUUCUUGGCUUUAUAAGGGCACAUUUCUUUUCUGCUGGUUUUCAUGAGAGCAGCUGCUUUUGUUAUUCAUGGACUAAUUUCCACAAAAUGUCUACAGUUUAUCAGUUAAUAAGGAGUCUUACGUUUUAUCAGAAAUUAAACAUCAAUGCUAGGCAUUAUUUUAAUCUCCAGUGCUGAACAAAAGCUAUGUGGCCAUUUUUGAAUCAAGUACAGUAAACAACUGUCGUUAGCUACCCUCUUCUAUGGAAAUAAUAAUCUACCUCACCACA